GACCUGCAUGACACUGAGAUGUCACAGCUCUGAUUGACUUCAUGGAAUAUAGUUGAUGGAACAGAUGAUGGAAUGCAAUCAUAUUGUUGAAUGUAGUAUUCUGGAAAGAAGCUUCAAUAUUAAAAUUAUAUGUGUAAUGUAAAAUCUGGGAAAGAAUAGGAUAGGAUAUAAUUGAGUAGAACAGAACAGAGUAAAAUUUCCUUUCAGUGGUUGGGGUUUUGACUGCAGCUCUGAAAUUAAUUGAAUUUUCUGCUUUCUGUUUUUUUCUUAGUGAUUAAUUAUUAUCAAAUAUUCUUUAAGAGCUGUGACAUCUGUUAAAUGUAAUUACUUUCUCUUCCAUAUGUAAAUCAAGGUCCUUCUUAAAAAAAAAGAAAGAGACAGUUUAUACUUAAAUUGAGUACUUUUAUCUGCAAUUUGCAAGUUAAGGUGUAUGUAAAGCCCGUGGCUAUACUAAAGGCUCAGUUGUGCCUCCUAGGCACGGUGUUAAUUAAAGGGUGAUGUGUAUUCGUACAACUCUGAGGAGAACUCUGGAAGGGAUUAUACCUUGGAGAGGCACAGUGCCUCCAGUGCAGCACAGCAUGUCAGUAAAAUGCACAUGCUGUGCACCACCUGCGUUGAUGUUGCUCAGCACCUCUGUGGGCCCAUCUCCUUCCCACACCCCCUCAUCCUCUUUGCUGGGGUUCACACCCAGCGAACACUGGGAAGGGACAGUCCUGGCACCUGUGUCCAACUCCUGCAUGCCAAGGGAAAGGUGGUGCUGACAUCCCUUAUGUUGCUGAUAACUAUUCAGGCAGGAUAUACCUGGCCAAGGAUAAACAGAAAUUACCAAGUGUCAUUCCCUAGAUAUAGUUUCUCUUUUUACUCAGUGUCAGGUCUUUUAAAAGUCUGACAGCAUGUAUGAUGUUUGACAGCUUCUUACAUUUUAUCUGAGCCCAUCCUAUAUAGCUAAUUUUGAAUAAUUCUAUAUCCAUGUCUGAUUUUGUUCUCUUUCAUAUUUUUCAUCAGGGAUCAUUUCUCCCUUGGGCAGCUCUCUUGACACCAGUGUAGUUUUAGAUAUGAUUUACUCCUAUGCAAAUAAGAUCAGCAUCAUACCUAUAGACCUUUGUUUAGAAUAUUGACGAUAUCCAAAAGAUUUAUUCCAAUCUCUAUGUAAAUAGUAUCUGUGAUCAAUUUAAUACAUAUUUAAGGAUUUUUCAAGGCCGUAUUAUUCACUGGAUUAAAUGUUCAUUUUGGUAAUAUAUUAUUGCUGUUGUACGUCCAAUAGAUCUAAUUCAGCCCAGGGUGAUUUUUUUAUAACCGAGUAAUAGACCACUGAAAAUAGGAUUUAUUAUAGAAAUGCCAAGACAUUUCUUAUUUAUAGUAUAAUAGUACAAAUUGCCCCUAUAAUAAAUAUUCUUCAGUUAUCAAAUCAUCAGUCUUUUAUGGUAACGCUGACAAAUGAUCCCAUAGGCAGUAUGAUAUUAUUAAUAUAAUGUAUUAACUUUCAAUUUUAAAUUGGCUAUUGGAUCUGGAACAACUGUAAAUUAUAUGAUGUAGUUUAAGUGGGACUUGUGACCUAAAUCUGCAUAGCUUUAUAGCAAAAUGUGACUACACAAAAUGUUUUAGACUAUCCUCAUAUACAACGUGGAAACAGUAUCACUCUGAGCCCACAAUUCAACAGAUCUGUAGAUUGCACGCACUGAGAGGAAACUGUCACCGAAGAACAUCUAAAAAGAAAAUUUUUAAAUCGUGCAGAAAAUCUUUGCACCCAGCCUCACAAGUCAAGCAGAGCACCUAACUGGCUGAUCCAAGUUAAGGCAGCUGGAUAUCUCCCCAAGACCACAUUAUGGUAGUCUUGAAUUGUGGACCACAAUUCAUUAGUCAUUCCUUGUGGCUCAGUAUCACCUUCAGCAUGAUCCAAACCACAAAUGCUUUGCUGGAGCUGCCAAAGACACCAGUUUGCAUGAACAGAAGAUCCUUUGAGUACAUAUCUCUGAAGCUUGUUCAAAAGCUGUGCCAACUCAGGCAGA